GACGAACGCUGGCGGCGUGCUUAACACAUGCAAGUCGAACGGAAAGGCCCUGCUUUUGUGGGGUGCUCGAGUGGCGAACGGGUGAGUAACACGUGAGUAACCUGCCCUUGACUUUGGGAUAACUUCAGGAAACUGGGGCUAAUACCGGAUAGGAGCUCCUGCUGCAUGGUGGGGGUUGGAAAGUUUCGGCGGUUGGGGAUGGACUCGCGGCUUAUCAGCUUGUUGGUGGGGUAGUGGCUUACCAAGGCUUUGACGGGUAGCCGGCCUGAGAGGGUGAACGGCCACAUUGGGACUGAGCUACGGCCCAGACUCCUACGGGAGGCAGCAGUGGGGAAUAUUGCACAAUGGGCGGAAGCCUGAUGCAGCAACGCCGCGUGCGGGAUGACGGCCUUCGGGUUGUAAACCGCUUUCGCCUGUGACGAAGCGUGAGUGACGGUAAUGGGUAAAGAAGCACCGGCUAACUACGUG
rnacentral:rRNA from 1 species